rnacentral:rRNA from 1 species
UGCCAGCAGCCGCGGUAAUACGGAGGGGGUUAGCGUUGUUCGGAAUUACUGGGCGUAAAGCGCACGUAGGCGGAUUAAUAAGUCAGGGGUGAAAUCCCGGGGCUCAACCUCGGAACUGCCUCUAAAACUGGUAAUCUAGAGAUAUGGAGAGGUAAGUGGAAUUCCUAGUGUAGAGGUGAAAUUUGUAGAUAUUUGGAAGAACACCAGUGGCGAAAGCGGCUCACUGGCUCGUUUCUGACGCUGAGGCGCGAAAGCGUGGGUAGCGAAGAGGAUUAGAUA